UGCUAUGAAGCUCGGUCUGAGUAUACAGAG
rnacentral:piRNA from 1 species